UACAGAGGUCUCGAGCGUUAGGCGGAAUCACUGGGCUUAAAGCGUGUGUAGGUGGAUGCCUAAGUACCUUGUGAAAUCCCACAGCUUAACUGUGGAACUGCUUGGUAUACUGGGUGUCUUGAGUCACUCAGGGGCGAGCGGAACAAAUGGUGGAGCGGUGAAAUGCGUAGAUAUCGGGAGGAACAUCAGUGGCGAAGGCGGCCAUCUGGGACAACACUGACGCUGAGGCACGAAAGCGUGGGGAGCAAACAGG
rnacentral:rRNA from 1 species